CCUUUCUCCCCGCCGCAUUCCCGGUGUCGACUUACUAGCUGCAAGCCUCUGCCUGCCUUCCUGCGCGCCGUUCCCCGCUAGUCGCUGCUGCUGGCGCGCACUCGCCGGGUUUUUCCUCCCACGGCCUCGAGAUGGUGGUGAAUGUGGCACGGAGGAGCCGGGCCUUCCAACCCGGUGGGCCCGAGCUCCGAAAGGCCCCCUCGGCAGUGAGAGGGGCGGGAGCCCGCGGGGGCCGCGCCCUUCUCUCGCUUCGGACUGCGCAACGCUGCGCUCUGGGCUGACAGAUGAAGACUCUUAAGAUGACAGAAGGUGAUUUUUCUGGUGAUCGAGGACUUCCGGGGUAAUGACAGUGAUGAAAUGCAGGGGACCUGGUUGCCCCCAAGUUUCCUGGCAGUGUGUGAUACUGAGGAGGUGAGCUUGUUUCUGGAGCUGUGCUUUAAGAUUCAUGUUACAUGUAAAGCUGUCCUCAUUUGUGACUAUGGACCUAUGGAGUUGGGACAAUCUCUAUGGGAAGCAGAAGGCAAGGACCCCGGUCAUUUUAGGUAGAAACAACAGCAUGCUAAUGCAAAAAAUUAUGCAGUGUGCUACUGAACUUCAGAGGUGAUCAAUAAAAGAAGAAUAAAAAGACUAAUAAAAGUA
rnacentral:lncRNA from 1 species